AUGUGGGUUCCUGGGGGAAGGGCAUUCCAAGCUGAGGAACAGCCAGUGCAAAGGCCCUGGGUCAGCAGUGUGGAGGAGGCCAGUGUGACUGAACUGGAGAGGGGCGGGAGUGAGGGCAUACAGGGGACAGGGCCAGAUCCUGUAGGACCAUGUGGGACACAGUGAGGACUUGUACUUUUAAGCUGAGUGUGGCAGGAGCCAGGGGAGGGUUUGGAGAAGAGGAGAAACUUGUUUUGACUUAGGUCUUUAAAGGUUCUGGCUGGCUGCACAUGGGGAACAGCCUGUGGUGGGGUGAGGGUUGAACCAAGGUGCCAGGUGAGCAGGUGGCAGUGAUAUUCAAGUGGGAGAUGGUGGCAGGCCCAGGUAAUGGCAGCGAGCAUGAUGAGAAGUAGUCGGAUUCUGGAUGCAUUUGGAUGGUCAGCCAACAAGUUUGCUGACUGCCUGGACUGUCGGGGCAGUGAGAGGCAGAGGUCACAAGUCCAUUCCAAGGCUUUGGGCUGGAGCAACCAGAGGGAUGGAGCUGCUGCACACCUUCAUGCAGAAGGAGGGAGAGUUUCCCGAAAUGAAGAUGAAGGGUUCAGGAUCCGGCCACAGGCAUGAGGGGUCUCAGUCCGAGAUGACAGUGCUGGCGCCAGCCUGGAGCCCAACUGUGCGUAUACCUGGGGCACAAGGUGGAGGAAAGACCUCCCUGUUCCUGCUCCUGUUGCUGAGCCCCGGCCUCCGCGGGACCCCCGACUGCUCCUUCACCCACAGCCCCAUCUCCUCCACCUUCACAGGCACCAUCCGCAAACUGGCUGACUACCUGCUUCAAGAUUACCCAGUCACUGUGGCCUCCAACCUGCAGGACGAGCCCCAGCCCGCAGCCCGGCUGCCCACAGGACCCAGAGCUGGAGCUGUCUCUCCCCAGGACGAGCUCUGCAGGCCGAUCUGGCACCUUGUCUUGGCCCAGCGCUGGAUGGGACGCCUCAAGACUGUGGCAGGGUCCCAGAUUCAGGACCUACUAGAGGCUGUCAACACCGAGAUACUCUUUGUCACCUUAUGUGCCUUCCAGCAAUCCAAGGGAGGUGGAGCUGGAAGCCCAGUCCCACUGGGGACCCCAUUGCUGGGAAUCACUGCUCUGGGCACACUGCCCCUCCCCAGCUGUCUCCGCUUCGUCCAGACCAACAUCUCCCACCUCCUGCAGGACACCUCGGAGCAGCUGCUGGCCUUGAAGCCCUGGAUCACCCGCAGGAAUUUCUCCCAGUGCCUGGAGCUGCAGUGUCAGCCGGACAAGGAGAAUGAGGCACAGGGGAGCGACCCGCCAGGAUCACAGCCAGCGUCAGGCAAGCCUGCCUGCCUUUCCUUGGCCCAGCCCUUCUCCCAGUCACCCAGCGUCCUGUCUCUGCAGACUCCACCACCCUGCUGCCCCCAAGGAGUCCUGGAGCCUUGGAGGCCACCGUCCUGCCGGCCCCUCAGGCCCCCCUCCUCCUCCUGUUCCUGCUGCUGCCCGGGGCCCUCCUGCUCUCGGCUGCUGCCUGGUGCCUGCACUGGCGACGGAGGCGGCAGAGGAUGCCCCACCCCGGGGAGCAGCCCAGUGAGACAGAAAUAUCUGUCAUCCCAUUUUACAGAGGACGACACUGAGGCCCAGAGGGAGGAGUCACCUGCCACAGGACACACAGCCGGGAUUUGGAGGAAGUCAGCUAGAGACUGGUCCCUUCCUUAGUCCUGCUGUGCCCCUCACACUCUCCUCAGGAUGGAGGCAAGGCCAGCAACCAGCACCAGCCCCACCUGCCCCCCUCUGUACGAAUCCCUUGUCCCCAGGAAAUUGUAUAUAAAUCACUUUUCUACCAGCUCUGGCCAGGCCUGUCUGUGAAUAGGGCAGUGUGGAUUUGAGUUUCGGUGUUCCAGUUAAUAUGUUUCAUCCGAUACCUGUUUUCUGAGGCCUCCUGGGGCCCACGGCCCAUGCAGAGCAAUUUUGGACCCAGAUGUGAAUCAGAAGUGACCCAGCGCCCCUGAUCUAUCGGUAAGACAAGAGACCAGAGGGCUUCAGGACAGCAAAACGCACACUCCAAUGAAAGUGGCACAGCCACUGUGGGAGCCCUGGGGAGAUGCGUGAGAUAUGAGGGAGGCCCUGCGGAAGAAUGAACCCCAGCGAAAGGGACUUUGACAGGCCAGAUUUUGGAAGGUGGGGAUGGGGGGCGGGGCAUCCCAGGCAAGGGGCACAGCAGAAGGCCUGGAUUCCAGAAGGUGGGAAGGUCAUCUGGGAAACACUCAGGCAUCUGGAAGCCAUUUCUAGAUAGCCUCUCAGAUCGCAUAGGGGAGACUGCCUCCAUCUGCUUUACAGAUGGGGACACUGCGGGGUUUGGAGGCCGAAAGGGCACCGGAAUCAUAUCUCUACACCCAGACUGAGCGCUGAAGGACGAGCCUGCUUGUCUUCUGCGGGCCUCCACGUGGCGUGGUGCCUGUGGCCGAUCGAAAGGCCAUGGCGGUUUAGGUCCAACGAGAACGAUACUCCGAUUGGACAGUCAGAAGGAGGCCCGCCUUCUAAUGGAGCCUCUGCGCACGCGCAAGGUCCUUUGGCCAAUGAAGAGCCGAUAGGCUGUCCGUGUCGC